CAGUCGCCGCGGGAAUGCGGAGGGGGCUAGCGUUGUUCGGAAUUACUGGGCGUAAAGCGCACGUAGGCGGCUUGGUAAGUUAGAGGUGAAAGCCUGGAGCUCAACUCCAGAAUUGCCUUUAAGACUGCCGAGCUAGCAGGUGAGAGAGGUAAGUGGAAUUCCGAGUGUAGAGGUGAAAUUCGUAGAGAUGUGGAGGAACAUCUGUGGCGAAGGCGACUAUCUGGGCCAACACUGACGCUGAGGCACGAAAGCGUGGGGAGCAAACAGGAUUAGAUACCCCGGUAGUCCCUGUCUCUUAUAC
rnacentral:rRNA from 1 species